rnacentral:misc_RNA from 1 species
GAUGAAGAACGUAGCAAAAUGCGAUAAGUAAUGUGAAUUGCAGAAUUCAGUGAAUCAUCGAAUCUUUGAACGCACAUUGCGCCCCUUGGUAUUCCGAGGGGCAUGCCCGUUCGAGCGUCAUUAUACCCCUCAAGCCUAGCUUGGUGUUGGGGCCUGCUGUUACCGGCAGCCCUUAAAAUCAGUGGCGGUGCCAUCUGGCUCUAAGCGUAGUAAUACUUCUCGCUACAGGGUCCCGGUGGAUGCUUGCCAUCAACCCCUAAUUUUCUAUGGUUGACCUCGGAUCGGGUAGGGAUACCCGCUGAACUUAAGCAUAUCAAUAAGCGGAGGA